rnacentral:rRNA from 1 species
ACAUGAAUACAACAUAGAGUUAAUGCAUCGGAUCCCAUUAUAACUCCAUAGUUAAGCAUGCUCAGGCUAGAGUAGCACUAGGAUGGGUUACCACCUGGGAAGUCUUAGUGUUUUACAUGCU